UACAGAGGUCUCAAGCGUUGUUCGGAUUCAUUGGGCGUAAAGGGUGCGUAGGCGGUCGCGCAAGUCGGAUGUGAAAUCUCAGGGCUCAACCCUGAAACUGCAUUCGAUACUGCGUGGCUAGAGUGCUGGAGAGGAGACUGGAAUUUACGGUGUAGCAGUGAAAUGCGUAGAUAUCUGGAAGAACACCGGUGGCGAAGGCGGCCUUCUGGACGAUGACUGACGCUGAGACGCGAAAGCGUGGGGAGCAAACAGG
rnacentral:rRNA from 1 species